GGAUAAUACUGAUAAACCAAUCAAGACUCCGGAUUACAUGGUUAAGAGGGAUGCUACAUCAUUAGCCAUGGGAGCAGGACUCGUUGAUCCAAACCGUGCAGUUGAUCCAGGCCUUAUAUAUGACGCCACUCCACUAGACUAUGUGAACCUUCUCUGCUCUAUGAAUUUGACAGUAGAGCAAUUCAAAACAAUUGCUAGAUCAUCAGCUAAGCACAACUGCUCAAAUCCAUCCAAUGAUAUCAAUUACCCCUCAUUUAUUGCUCUCUUUAGCCCAUAUGGGAACUACACUUGGUUGGAGCAGAAAUUUAAGAGGACAGUCACAAAUGUUGGAGCUGCUGCAGCAACAUAUAAAGUAAAAGUGAGAGCACCAAAAAACUCAACAAUAUCUAUCUCUCCGCAGACCUUGGUGUUUGAGAAGAAAUAUCAGAAGCAGGACUACAGUCUGACCAUACGUUACAAGGGCGUUGCGGAAGAUCAAGCACAAUCUGGUUCAAUCACUUGGGUGGAAGAGAAUGGUCAUCACACAGUAAGAAGUCCUAUAGUAGUAGCUCCAGAGAUUGAUGCCUGGACCUGAAAUGCUGCAGUUAACAAAACUGUUGCAUUUGUGAGUUUGUAACUCUCUAAGAGAGUUAUGUUAAAGUAGCUGGACAUUCUGGCAAAGCAAAUGUAUGUUUGAAGUAAAAGUUAAAUAAAUAAAAAAUUGUUAUAAAAAAGGCAUGACUUUAUUGAUCUUUAAAACUUUGUUGCUACAUAGAACUAAAGCCAUUAGAUGCUUUUUGCAGAUACACCAUGAAGUAGUACUAUAUCCACUUAUUGAGCUCUCUGGAGAAUCUUUGGCUAGAUAAAAAAUGCAGUGCUAGAAGAACUGAAUUUUUUUAAAUUCACUUGUUUUAAUAAGCCCCAGGAUAUGGAACAAAGGAUUAGCUUGGACCUAUACUGAAUAACUAUUGGUAAUAUUCAAAUUCGUCCAAACAAUGUUGUAUGUAUAAAGAAGUGUUUAAUCGACAAGUGACAAGGAAAGAGCCUUUUGUCUAUAGCGUUAGAGCAUUGAGUAGACCUUUUGCCUUAACCAACAAACAAUAUGUUAAAAAAAGUCUUACACGGGGUAUUAAGAAAUUUAAAGCGCCUAAGACUAGACAUAUAACAAGCGGAGCAACAGUUUGAGACGCUAUAGAAAGCCAACUGCAGUUCAGUCUCAAGGGUUGAAGUUCUGCACUACAUGCAUGUAACUAUUACAACUCUCACCCUUCCCUCUCUCCUUUCCCUCUUUCAAUUUUAAGAAUACUUAUAUAAUUUCUGAACUAAACUAGCACAAAUAAAAUCAUAGGGAAUACAUUGACAUAUGCAAACUUGAUCAGAAUUGAGUUGAAGUAACUGGAGAAUCAGACAUGACACCAUAUAUCUUUGAGUAUAUGAAGUUACCGAGCAAUUGUUUUGCAUGAGUUGAUGAGUAUGAAUAUAUAUAGAGCAGAAGUUUCUUUUCCAUUUCUACCAAUAGAGCUUAAACGUAGAACUUAACUAGUCACCAAGAUUGGCAAUAUCCAUACAGUAGGCUUUCCAUGGUAAUAUAUCAUAAGAUAAUUCUAUAGAGCAUGUUAUGCAGAGACUGAAAGCAUUAGUUUUGCCUUUGACAGAAACAAAUUAAUGUUUAAAACAUGCAAGUGAUCUUUUCUAUUUGGGAUUUUUCAAAAGUAAGUUUCAUGUUCUUGUUCUCUUUUCUUCCAAUUUGAAAUAAAUAGUACACACGCUAAUAGAAACAACUACAAGUAUAUACAUGCACAGAAAACGUGUAUGUGUGCGCCCGCCAGGGCGUAUGUAGUGUAAUAAUAACAAGUUCAAUUGAACCCAUAACUUUCGACGCGAAGUAAAACUUUAGAUGUAAAAAUUUGUUAAAAUUGCAAAUUAGUAGAUAUGAACUCAUAACUUUAAAAAUAUAAUGAGUUAAAUGCUAAAAAAUUUAAUUAUUAAAUUCAUAGAGUUAAAAUUCUAGAUGUGCCUCGGCGAGCACCCGUAUGUAUAAAGGAGGGAAGGAGGGAUGAAUGGGCUGGCAUGCAUGCACUUAGAAAAGUAUGACCUCCAUGAUUAAUUGACAAUAAAAUCAUUCCAAUAUAGGACAUUUACCAAUCAAUCACAAUAUGGUAGGAUCAUUUUUAAAAUAGAAAUUCGAGCCUAACGUGCCCACUUGCUACAAAUUCCCAAUGCUAGUACUAAGUUCUAUCGCCAAAUACAAAAUGUGUUCGUCCAAUCAAUGACCAUCCAUAGUUAUACUAAUCUAUGUGUUCUUCAUAUGGGAUUCCAAAAGGCUUUUGUAAUUUUUUUGAGAUGUUCUAAGUGUUAUGUGAGUGGACUAAUAAUUUUUUUAUAAACAACCUCAAGUACUUUUGAAGAACCUAUUUUGAAAAAAAAUAUCUUCAAUAAUUUCCAUAAUUUCUUUUUCCAAAACUUGUACUCCUAAAAGAUUUUGCAAGUUGGUAUUUGUUUAAUGCAAAAAUCGUGACAACAUAGUAUUACUCAAAAAAAAAAAAAGACGAAAGAAUAGCUUAUUAAAGCAACCAGUAUUAUAUAACAUAUGUCAUUUAUAUAAGUUUUAUUAAUUAACAUUGUUGAGUAAUAUAUAUUCUAAUCUCAAUUUAUCACUUGAAAUAUGAUUGGGUGCUUGUACAAAUCUGUGUAGUGUGUGUACACAGGAAGUCGCCACUUUAAUUUUCACUAAAAUAAUGUCACCACUGGUCCACUGGCUGAAACUUCCAAAGAAACCAAGUCUUAGAAAAUGACAGCUUACCAAGUGCUCCAAUUGCAUUAUCUACUUCACAAAACUAGCCAAGGGCGGGGGCCCAAGCAAGGCUGUUUCUUAGCAUGUGUAUUUAAAAGGAGGCUCUGUUGUAAGAGGAAAAAAACACAAGUAGACAGAUAGAAUUAUGACAUCAGUACCUCUUCUCCUGUUUUCUUGGUUUCUUUUUGGUAUUUCUUUGUUAUUAGGAACCUCAGCAAAGAGGUCUACUUACAUUGUCCAUUUGGACAAAUCUGUUAUGCCUAAAAUCUUUGCUAGUCAUGAAAACUGGCAUUCAUCCAUUAUUAACAACAUCAAGAUUGAGGUUCCCACUACUCCAAAUGAUCAUCAUCCAGUUCCAAAGAUUGUAUAUUCUUAUGAUAAUGUCAUUCAUGGCUUCAGUGCUGUUUUGUCUAAAGAUGAACUUGUAGCUCUCAAGAAAUCACCAGGCUUUCUCUCAGCUUAUAAAGACAGGACUGUUGAAGCUCACACUACUCAUACUUCUGAGUUUCUUAAGCUCAAUCCUGCUUCUGGGAUGUGGCCAGCUUCUGGUUUUGGUCAAGAUGUUAUCAUUGGUGUGCUUGACUCUGGUAUCUGGCCAGAAUCUGCCAGUUUCAGAGAUGAUGGAUUGCCUGAAGUUCCAAAAAGGUGGAAAGGAAUUUGCAAGCCAGGAGCAGAGUUCAAUUCCUCAUUGUGCAACAGGAAACUCAUAGGAGCUAAUUAUUUCAAUAAGGGUAUUUUGGCUGAUGAUCCUAGUGUAAAUAUUUCCAUGAAUUCUGCAAGGGAUACUAGAGGUCAUGGCACCCAUGUUGCUUCCACUGCUGCUGGUAGUUUUGCUAAAGGAGCUUCAUAUUUUGGAUAUGCUCCUGGAACAGCAAGAGGUAUCGCGCCACGAGCUAGGAUAGCUGUGUAUAAGUUUAGCUUUGAAGAAGGAACCUUUACUUCAGAUUUAAUUGCUGCUAUGGACCAAGCUGUUGCAGAUGGUGUCGACAUACUGACCAUUUCGUAUGGGUGGUCUAAAAUUCCGUUGUACGAAGAUUCUAUUGCAAUAGCUUCUUUUGGUGCCAUGAUGAAGGGUGUCUUAGUCACUGCUUCAGCUGGAAACAGAGGUCCUGAAAUGGGAACUUUAAACAAUGGAGUCCCGUGGAUCUUUACCGUGGCAUCAUGCAGUACUGACCGAUCAUUUUCAGGGACUCUAACUCUUGGGAAUGGCUUAAAGAUUACAGGAUUUAGCUUGUUUCCAGUGAGAACCAUGAUCAAGGAUUUUCCUGUGCUUUACAACGAAAGUAUAUCUCCUUGUGAUUCAUCUGACCCAUUAUCCCAAGUCCCUAAUGCUAGACGUAGCAUCAUGAUUUGCUAUAGUGUUGCAGUAGAAGUAGAGGAACAAAUGGCGGCCAUCUCAGAGUCAAAAUUUGGAGGAGCCAUCUAUAUAUCUGAUGAUCCAGAUGCAUUGAUAUCCAAUUUUUUUCCAAACCCUGGAGUUGUCAUUAGCAUCAAGGAAGGGAAGCAGGUGAUCGACUAUGCAUUAAAAGGUGUAAAACCUAAAGCCAGCAUCAGUUUCCAGGAAACACGCACGGAUGUAAAGCCUGCUCCAGUCGUUUCUGCAUUUUCCUCUAGAGGCCCUUCUAAAAGCUAUCUGCAAAUUGCAAAGCCUGAUAUUAUAGCACCAGGAGAGUUGAUUUUAGCAGCCUGGCCAUCGAACGUUUCAGCUGCAGUUAUUGGUGUCAAUACAUUUUUGGAAAGUGAUUACCGUCUUGAAUCAGGCACUUCCAUGGCUGCUCCUCACGUUGCUGGAAUUGCUGCGAUGCUAAAAGGAGUACAUCCCGAAUGGAGUCCUUCAGCUAUUCGAUCUGCCAUGAUGACCACUGCCAAUCCUUUGGAUAAUACUGAAAAACCCAUCAAAAGCGCAGAUAAUGACAAGGAUGCUACAUCAUUAGCCAUGGGAGCCGGACUCGUUGAUCCAAAUCGUGCAGUUGAUCCAGGCCUAAUAUAUGAUGCCACUCCGCAAGACUAUGUGAACCUUCUCUGCUCUAUGAAUUUGACAGUAGAGCAAUUCAAAACAAUUGCUAGAUCAUCAGCUAAGCACAACUGCUCAAAUCCAUCCAAUGAUAUAAAUUAUCCUUCAUUUAUUGCUCUCUUUAGCCCAUAUGGGAACUACACUUGGUUGGAGCAGAAAUUCAAGAGGACAGUCACAAAUGUUGGAGUUGGUGCAGCUACGUAUAAAGUAAAAGUGAGAGCACCAGAAAACUCGUCGAUUUCUAUCUCUCCGCAGACCUUGGUGUUUGAAAAGAAAAACCAGAAGCAGGACUACACUCUGACCAUACGUUACAAAGGCGUCGCGGAAGAUCAAGCACAAUCUGGUUCAAUCACUUGGGUGGAAGAGAACGGUCAUCACACAGUAAGAAGUCCUAUAGUUGUAGCUCCACAGAUUGACGCCUGGUCCUGAAAUGCUGCAGUUUACAAAACUGUUGCAUUUGUAAGCUUCUAACUCUCUACGAGACUUCUGGUAAGUAGCUAGAAGGAUGCUGGCAAAGUACAUGUAUGUUUGAAGUAAUUGUUGAAUAGUAACAUAUUUUGGGUUAUUAAUAAAAAAUGACUGUGCU
rnacentral:lncRNA from 1 species